UAAGGGAGCUAUGCUGGAAGUGCUCCACCCGAUCCCAUCCCGAACUCGGAAGUGAAAUCUUCCAAGGCCGAUGAUAGUGCUUUGCGCCAAAGUAGGUAGCUCUCUUAC
rnacentral:rRNA from 1 species